rnacentral:rRNA from 1 species
GAGUUUGAUCGUGGCUCAGGAUGAACGCUAGCGGCAGGCCUAAUACAUGCAAGUCGAACGGUAAAUAUUUUAGCAAUAGAAUAUGAGAGUGACGUACGGGUGCGUAACACGUAUGCAACCUACCCUUUACAGGCGGAUAGCUCGGGGAAACUCGAAUUAACCCGCCAUAAGAUCAUAGAGUGGCAUCACUUAGUGAUUAAAUUCCAAGAGGUAAAGGCUGGGCAUGCGUCUGAUUAGUUAGUUGGCGGGGUAACGGCCCACCAAGACGAUGAUCAGUAGGGGAACUGAGAGGUUGAUCCCCCACACUGGCACUGAGAUACGGGCCAGACUCCUACGGGAGGCAGCAGUAGGGAAUAUUGGUCAAUGGAUGGAAGUCUGAACCAGCCAUGCCGCGUGCAGGAAGAAGGCCUUCUGGGUUGUAAACUGCUUUUGCCAGGGGCUAAAAAGCUCAUGCGUGAGAAAUUGAAAGUACCUGGUGAAUAAGCCACGGCUAACUACGUGCCAGCAGCCGCC